rnacentral:rRNA from 1 species
GACGAACGCUGGCGGCGUGCCUAAUACAUGCAAGUUGGGCGCUGAAGGUUGGUACUUGUACCAACUGGAUGAGCAGCGAACGGGUGAGUAACGCGUGGGGAAUCUGCCUUUGAGCGGGGGACAACAUUUGGAAACGAAUGCUAAUACCGCAUAAAAACUUUAAACACAAGUUUUAAGUUUGAAAGAUGCAAUUGCAUCACUCAAAGAUGAUCCCGCGUUGUAUUAGCUAGUUGGUGAGGUAAAGGCUCACCAAGGCGAUGAUACAUAGCCGACCUGAGGGGGUGAUCGGCCACAUUGGGACUGAGACACGGCCCAAACUCCUACGGGAGGCAGCAGUAGGGAAUCUUCGGCAAUGGACGAAAGUCUGACCGAGCAACGCCGCGUGAGUGAAGAAGGUUUUCGGAUCGUAAAACUCUGUUGGUAGAGAAGAACGUUGGUGAGAGUGGAAAGCUCAUCAAGUGACGGUAACUACCCAGAAAGGGACGGCUAACUACGUG